rnacentral:rRNA from 1 species
ACGCUCGACACCUACGGGAGGCAGCAGUGGGGAAUAUUGCACAAUGGGGGAAACCCUGAUGCAGCGACGCCGCGUGAAGGAAGAAGUAUCUCGGUAUGUAAACUUCUAUCAGCAGGGAAGAAAGUGACGGUACCUGACUAAGAAGCCCCGGCUAACUACGUGCCAACAGCCGCGGUAAUCUGAGCGGCUGGCAAGGC